rnacentral:rRNA from 1 species
GAUGAACGCUGGCGGCGUGCCUAAUACAUGCAAGUCGAGCGAACAGACGAGGAGCUUUCUCCUCUGACGUUAGCGGCGGACGGGUGAGUAACACGUGGAUAACCUACCUAUAAGACUGGUAUAACUUCGGGAAACCGGAGCUAAUACCGGAUAAUAUAUUGAACCGCAUGGUUCAAUAGUGAAAGACGGUUUUGCUGUCACUUAUAGAUGGAUCCGCGCCGCAUUAGCUAGUUGGUAAGGUAACGGCUUACCAAGGCAACGAUGCGUAGCCGACCUGAGAGGGUGAUCGGCCACACUGGAACUGAGACACGGUCCAGACUCCUACGGGAGGCAGCAGUAGGGAAUCUUCCGCAAUGGGCGAAAGCCUGACGGAGCAACGCCGCGUGAGUGAUGAAGGUCUUCGGAUCGUAAAACUCUGUUAUUAGGGAAGAACAAAUGUGUAAGUAACUAUGCACGUCUUGACGGUACCUAAUCAGAAAGCCACGGCUAACUACGUG